rnacentral:rRNA from 1 species
UACGAAGGGAGCUAGCGUUGUUCGGAAUCACUGGGCGUAAAGCGCGCGUAGGCGGCUUCUCAAGUCAGGGGUGAAAUCCCACAGCUUAACUGUGGAACUGCCUUUGAAACUGAGAGGCUAGAAUGUGAGAUGGGAUGGCGGAAUUCCUAAUGUAGAGGUGAAAUUCGUAGAUAUUAGGAGGAACACCGGUGGCGAAAGCGGCCAUCUGGAUCACAAUUGACGCUGAAGUGCGAAAGCGUGGGUAGCAAACAGG